rnacentral:lncRNA from 1 species
UUCCCCUUUCAAUCGCCCCAUCUGCUUCUUUUCAUAAUCUAAAUUUUUAUUUUUAGUAGUAUUUCACUUAAAAUCCUUCAGAAGCUUUGCCUCGUUUCAAGCGUUUUAACUCCCGAUUACCGCUACCCUUUCCGAUUGAUCUGAGUCCCAUAACGCAUGUCUAGGCUCUGCCCGACUAAGUUCGUUUGGAUUCUAUCUCGGAACAUCGGGACAAGAUCGAUUUAGGGGCACUAUACUUACCACAAAUGCAAUAUAUAUUUUUAUAGCUUAAAAGUUAUACCCAAAAUUUAUACCAGGAAUCCUUCUAGUUGAACCCUAAAGUUACACAGUGGGUCCAUUCCUUUUCCUCACCAUUUUAUUCUCUUUUUAUAAAGUACCCAAAACUAUUUAUUUAUUAGUUCUAUUUUAUAAACAAACUUUCAUCAAAAGUCCUGCCUAUUAUUUUAUUUACCCAAUAGGGAACCAUAGUUGAGACACCCAAGUAAACUUGCACAAAUCCUAAAAUUUUCAUAGCAAUCAGAAUCAGGAUCAGAACCCCUAAAACUCAAGAGGGGCAAAACCUAGUUGACGAUUAUCUUCAUAAAAACGUUGUCUAAAUACUAUUGGCCGAAUUAUUGACUCAGCUAGCCUACUCCUAAGCGUGGGAACCCUAUGGCAAAAGGCGACCUGUCGCGCCACGCGACAGGAACAAGGGGACCCCUCGCGUGGCGCGAGGGGGACUAAAUUCCAGCUAUAAAUAGUAGAGGUUGGGACUGGUUUCUGUGCGUUUGAACGACGAAGAAAUUCGUCUGAGGCACGGAGUUAUGCUCUGUUUACCACAAUUAACACACACACCUCGAAAUUAUGCCGCAAUAACAGGGUAAUAACUCGAUCGCUAUUACGAUUCAUUUUCCGAGCAAUCAAUAUAUCCAAAGAAUGCCUAAGUGCCGCCCACAUUGGGCUAUGCUUUAUCGUUUGUCGUACUAUACUUUGUCGUUUGUCAUUUUGAUAAAUGAGUUGAAGUAUUGCACUUGGUCAUUCAUUGUGAGAAUUUGAUCUCGGGAAAUUAUCGUAACUGCUGUAUUGAUCAUUAACCCGGUUUUUGUGAAAUUCGUUAAGAUUCGAAUCUCAUGACUACCGUUAAGGUUUGAUUUGGGUUUUACACCAACACGUAUUCUAUUCUGUUAAACCACCAAAAACACUCCCAACUACACCCUUACAAUCAAACAAACUAUUAAAUCAUCAGAAGAUCCAGAAUAACAAAGUACAUGCUUAAUUAUCGGGAAAAGUAGAAUCAAGAAGUUUGUUAAUUCAAUCCUGCAUGCUGAUUUGUGAGUUAUUCUCUUUUUAUAAAUUCUUUUAUCACAGUUUGUGAUUAAUUUACAAUACUCCAAAUUCAUUUUCCGGGAUUAUAAUACCAGUGAUUAAGUUGAUGUAAUCACCAAAUUGCAGCCAGUAUGUGGGGUAUUGUGCACAAUAUUACAGUUUAAAUCAUUUUAGGUGGGCGUACCUAAUUUAAUUGAUUUACGUCAUUCAUUGGGGCAGCCAAUGGUGAUAUGACCACUGUCACAGAUUCGGUCGAGUGACAAAUACUGUGGGUAAUUGGUUGAUAUCAGAAACAUGCGUAAAAGAUCUUAACACUGUGAAUAAUCAUAAAAUGUGUCGUUUUCAUUAACUAGAAUAAUUCACUCAGUAUUUCCCGCUGACAAAACCUUUUUAAAACGCGUUUCAGGUAAUUACAAUAGAUUGGAGCAAGGAUUGGAUCCGACACUAAAG